rnacentral:lncRNA from 1 species
UGUUUUAAGUUAUUGUAAAGUCAAUGUUAGAGUCCUUUGGAUUAAAAAAACACUGACCAUUCACACAAAUUAAAGUCUGAUUUUUAGUGUGAAAAAUUGUAUAUGUAUAAUUAUGAUUAGCUGUUGUCUGAGGACUUUGUCGUUCAAAUUUUCUUUCUGCAAUGUUCUUAAAACUAUGUGUUAUCACGUUUCAGAUGAGGAGUCUGCUAUUGAUGCUGACCAGAGUCUGAUGGGGAGAUUGGAUCGCUCUUGGAGUUGAACAUGCAGGCGAGGUUGGAUGCUCAGCAACAGUAUCUUGAGGGCUUGUCUCAGGGUUUUGAUGAUCAUGCUAAGCAGAUGCUAACUAUAUUGCAGCAGCUCCAGGCUCCAGAACCACUUCGGGUUUCCCCUUCCUUCCUAGAGCUAGUUGAUUCAUCUUUGGAAAAAUUUCCUUAUGUUUAUUUUGCUGUUUUUUUUUUCUUUGCUUUAUGUUGUUUCUUGUUUCCUUUUGUCAUCUUAGUCUCCUUUGUCUUUUAUUUUCAUUUUAGCAUUGGGUUUGCAUGUCUUAAGACUCGAUGAAAAAUUAUCUGGUUAUUAAGUAUCUAUAUCUUAUUAUGGGGAGAAGCCUAGAUUAUUUACAUGCAGAAAACGGUUUCUGGGUGCAGGUUUUGUGCCGAA